AAGCAGCGGAGCAUGUGGUUUAAUUCGAAGCAACGCGAAGAACCUUACCAGAGCUUGACACCUCCUGCAUAAUCCGUAAUGGGAUGAAAUCCUUCGGGACAGGAAGACAGGUGGUGCAUGGUUGUCGUCAGCUCGUGUCGUGAGAUGUUGGGUUAAGUCCCGCAACGAGCGCAACCCCUAUACUUAGUUGCCAUCAUUAAGUUGGGCACUCUAAGUAGACUGCCGGAGACAAUUCGGAGGAAGGUGGGGAUGACGUCAAAUCAUCAUGCCCCUUAUGUUCUGGGCUACACACGUGCUACAAUGGGUAUAACAACGGGAAGCAAGCCAGCGAUGGUGAGCAAAUCCCUAAAAAAUACUCCCAGUUCAGAUUGUUCUCUGCAACUCGAGAACAUGAAGUCGGAGUUGCUAGUAAUCGCGAAUCAGCAUGUCGCGGUGAAUACGUUCCCGGGCCUUGUACACACCGCCCGUCACACCAUGGGAGUUGGAAGCACCCGAAGCCGGUGACUUAACCGCAAGGAGAGAGCCGUCGAAGGUGAAGCCGAUGACUGGGGUGAAGUCGUAACAAGGUAGCCGUAUCGGAAGGUGCGGCUGGAUCACCUCCUU
rnacentral:rRNA from 1 species